UACGUAGGGGCCGAGCGUUAUCCGGAGUUAUUGGGCGUAAAGCGCGCGCAGGCGGCCUCGCGCGCCCGACGUGAAAGCCCCCGGCUUAACCGGGGAGGGUCGUUGGGGACGGCGGGGCUUGAGGGCGGGAGAGGUCGGUGGAAUUCCCGGUGUAGUGGUGAAAUGCGUAGAGAUCGGGAGGAACACCUGUGGCGAAGGCGGCCGACUGGGCCGACCCUGACGCUGAGGCGCGAAGGCGUGGGGAGCGAACGGG
rnacentral:rRNA from 1 species